rnacentral:rRNA from 1 species
GAGUAAUGUCUGGGAAACUGCCUGAUGGAGGGGGAUAACUACUGGAAACGGUGGCUAAUACCGCAUAACGUCGCAAGACCAAAGAGGGGGACCUUCGGGCCUCUUGCCAUCAGAUGUGCCCAGAUGGGAUUAGCUUGUUGGUGAGGUAACGGCUCACCAAGGCGACGAUCCCUAGCUGGUCUGAGAGGAUGACCAGCCACACUGGAACUGAGACACGGUCCAGACUCCUACGGGAGGCAGCAGUGGGGAAUAUUGCACAAUGGGCGCAAGCCUGAUGCAGCCAUGCCGCGUGUAUGAAGAAGGCCUUCGGGUUGUAAAGUACUUUCAGCGGGGAGGAAGGUGUUGUGGUUAAUAACCGCAGCAAUUGACGUUACCCGCAGAAGAAGCACCGGCUAACUCCGUGCCAGCAGCCGCGGUAAUACGGAGGGUGCAAGCGUUAAUCGGAAUUACUGGGCGUAAAGCGCACGCAGGCGGUCUGUCAAGUCGGAUGUGAA